rnacentral:rRNA from 1 species
UAGGGAAUCUUCGGCAAUGGGGGCAACCCUGACCGAGCAACGCCGCGUGAGUGAAGAAGGUCUUCGGAUCGUAAAACUCUGUUGUAAGAGAAGAACGUGUGUGAGAGUGGAAAGUUCACACAGUGACGGUAACUUACCAGAAAGGGACGGCUAACUACGUGUCAG